AGAGUUUGAUCCUGGCUCAGAUUGAACGCUGGCGGCAGGCCUAACACAUGCAAGUCGAGCGGAUGAGAAGAGCUUGCUCUUCGAUUCAGCGGCGGACGGGUGAGUAAUGCCUAGGAAUCUGCCUGGUAGUGGGGGACAACGUUUCGAAAGGAACGCUAAUACCGCAUACGUCCUACGGGAGAAAGCAGGGGACCUUCGGGCCUUGCGCUAUCAGAUGAGCCUAGGUCGGAUUAGCUAGUUGGUGAGGUAAUGGCUCACCAAGGCGACGAUCCGUAACUGGUCUGAGAGGAUGAUCAGUCACACUGGAACUGAGACACGGUCCAGACUCCUACGGGAGGCAGCAGUGGGGAAUAUUGGACAAUGGGCGAAAGCCUGAUCCAGCCAUGCCGCGUGUGUGAAGAAGGUCUUCGGAUUGUAAAGCACUUUAAGUUGGGAGGAAGGGCAUUAACCUAAUACGUUAGUGUUUUGACGUUACCGACAGAAUAAGCACCGGCUGACUCUGUGCCAGCAGCCGCGGUAAUACAGAGGGUGCAAGCGUUAAUCGGAAUUACUGGGCGUAAAGCGCGCGUAGGUGGUUUGUUAAGUUGGAUGUGAAAGCCCCGGGCUCAACCUGGGAACUGCAUCCAAAACUGGCAAGCUAGAGUACGGUAGAGGGUGGUGGAAUUUCCUGUGUAGCGGUGAAAUGCGUAGAUAUAGGAAGGAACACCAGUGGCGAAGGCGACCACCUGGACUGAUACUGACACUGAGGUGCGAAAGCGUGGGGGAGCAAACAGGAUUAGAUACCCUGGUAGUCCACGCCG
rnacentral:rRNA from 1 species